ACUGAGCUAGAUGGACCGAGGGUCUCACUCGGUAUAUGGCAGCUUCCUAUGUUCACCUAUGUUCACCUAUGUUCCUAUGUUCACGGCCACCUUAGGAACACUCCGGUGAGGAUUACCAACAACCCAGUUGCUGUGCCUUUAAGGACAGGGAUUAUGCAGGCCGCAUUUCCCUGUCUGCUCCGAAAAGUUUCAGUGAUUCUUUUCUGCAGAUCCAGCUUUGGGCAGAGCAAUAUGCAAAGAAAGAAAGACCAAGAGCCGGCACCAUCUACUGGCAGGUAGUGGAAAUGCAAAAGCAACGUUCCAGGAAGAGAGACGGACCCAGAAGAGAGAGGAAGAGAGGAAGAGGUGGUAAAUACUGAGCCGGCACAAGGAAACAACAGAGGCAUUUUAAAGCUGUCACGGAGUACAAAAGAAAUAGGCACAAGCCACCGAUUUGUGCCCCACCUACGAGGAAGUCUACAGUAUCAAAUUAAAAGGUCAUGUCGUUGCAGUUUGUCCUUGAGAUCCGAAUGAACCCAUCCCAACUCAGUUCUGAGAGGCCGCCUUUCUGCCAAAGAGGCACCCACCGAGGAUGAAAGAAAUCCACGAGUUCCAUUUGACGCAGAUACAGACGUCUCAAGGGCAUCCCAGGCUACAAACAACAAACAAACCCAUACACAGUCCAAGCAAGUCUUCAUUACUCAUUUUGUGGUACCUACCACAUUUUGCAAACUUUGCCCUGCAGGCAAAGGAUCCGAGUCCAAAUGAGAGCUGGAGGAAAGCUGGAGGGACACCCAGCACCCUGCUUACGUUGGUGCUUUGUGGAGCAGGGCAGAUGUGUAAACCUUCACUGCUGUGUUCAAACCAUCUGUUUUGAUGAGAAGGCUGAGAAGCGGCACCUUCCAAAAUUCUCCUUACUCGGGUCACCUUAUCACAGUUUGGGAAUUACAGUUCUAACGUCUGCGCCACCUGCAGACACCCAAGAGGUGAAGUCCCUCCUGCUCGCUUGCUCCUUUGUGAAAUGAUGGCAUUCGUGAAAGGCAGAUUUAGUCCUUCCAAAUCAAAAUAAAAAUCAGAGAGCUGGACAAAGAAAAGCCUCUCUGUAUUCAAGGCAGGGGAGCCCUGCAAGAGAAGAAAAGCUGGUCUUGGGGUAGCAAGCAUGUAUGGUCUCCUUUGCUAAGCAGGGUCUGUCCUGGUUUGCAAUA